AAAAAGAUAAACCUAGUUUUCGUGUCCAACAUUUGACCGUCCGUCUUAUUUGAAAAAGUUAUGAACAAAACUAAAAAGAUAAGUCACGCAUAAAAUAUUAAUCAUAUUUUAUCAUCUAACAACAAUAAAAAUACUAAUUAUAAAAAAAUUUCAUAUAAGACGGACAGUCAAACGUUGGCACGGGAACCCACGGUUUGCCUUUUU
rfam:Oryza glaberrima chromosome 5 Oglab05_0102_4, whole genome shotgun sequence.